AUUGAACGCUGGCGGCAUGCCUUACACAUGCAAGUCGAGCGGCAGCGCGGGGGCAACCCUGGCGGCGAGCGGCGAACGGGUGAGUAAUACAUCGGAACGUGUCCAGUAGCGGGGGAUAAC
rnacentral:rRNA from 1 species